GUGGGCUUGCGCGUGCGUGUGGCCUGUGCGCGCUCUGUCGUGUCCAACUCUUUGCGACCCCAUGGACUGUAGCCUGCAGUACUUAAUAGAGGCCUUUACUGAGAUGAGAAGUGUAUGUAGUGGUGUUAUGGUUGGCUGUAGAAGCUAUGGGACCUGUGUUGCAUAAAACACCUAGAAGCAAAUGGAUCCUCUUAAGAGGAAAGCCUAACUAGAUACAGUUUCAGAUAAAACGGGCAGGAACUAGGAAAUCAAUAGUCAAGAGAUCAUUUUCUGUAGAGGACAAGACAGCAAAGGUCCCAUGGCUGUUCCUGCAUUUGGCCAGGCAAUGAAUGAAUUCCAACUCCUUCUCUGACUCGCUGUUGUCCUUGAGCCAUUAGAACCAAUAGAAGAGGAUGAUGGAUAAGAACUUUUGAUUCAGGCUGCGGAUCAUUGAACUUCUCAGCCCCUCGGUUCCUGGACUGUACAAUGUGUAUAAUGGUAGUACCUGCCUGUUGUGAGGAUGAAAAGAGUAUGUGUAAAGAAGUUGCCAUGGUGCUUAGCACACUAGUGCCUUGUGUCAGUAUCAGAAUGGCUUUGCACUCUGCAUCGCUCAUUAUUCCCUUGCUUUCAGUUCUCCAGCGAUCAAAGGGCUUUGAAAAUGGGAUGCUCAUUUCACUGCAUCUUAAAACACUCCAUUUCAAUGCUUCUAAUCAAUAAUUCUUGUUUCAGCUUGAACAGAGAGGACACAGGCAGGCUGGAAGGAAUGUUUGAUGGGUCAAAGUGGUGUUAGUGGUAGAAGUUGGUAGAGCUCCCCUCCCCCUGCUAAGAAAGAGUAUAUGUGGUCCUGUGAAGGAGAGCCUCUUAGGCACUCCUGUCCUGGUGAUUGAUGUUAAACACAGAAGAUAAAUUUUACGAAGGACACAUUGUUACUCACCUUCUCUUUUGGGCUUAGUUUUUGUUAACAGUACCCUUCCUGGACCAGUUGGCUAAAGGUAGUGCUUUCAUUCUUUUCAAAGCUUUAUGUUAAAAAGUGGUUUAAAUAGCUUCAAUUUUUAAAGUGAUUUUUGAAAAUGGUCUAUCUGGAAGAUUGGACAGACGGACACAGAGCUUUUUUUAUGACAACAACUUAAGGACUGGGUCAGACCACUGAAGAGAGAAUUUCAGAUUGAGAGGUGUUCCUAACUUACAAAACUGAAACUUGAAGAUCGCUAAUUUAAGGUGGUUUCUUGGUAGUUGUCAGACAUAGCUGUGAGUUAAGCUAGCAGUCACAGUUUUUCUUGGCAGCAGAGAUAAAAGUUUAGUGACAAAAUCGUGAGCCACUGCAAAAAAAAAUAUGGAGACUUGGCUCUACAUUCAGAGUCUCAAAGGUUCAGACAGGCUGUAGUUAGUUAAUUGGCCCUGUUGCACCAGCACUUACCUUGGAAAAAGCAGUCAUCUCUCUUUUUCUACUGGUUUGUUUUUCCCAAGGUGUGUGGGCCCUUCAAAAUGUUGGAAUGCAGCUACUUUGCUGGAUGUAAUGGUUGACUCUAGGUCUUGUGACCCACUGGGGUUUUGUUUGUCUUUUGUCCUUAUCAAAGGAAAAGAGGGAGCGAGAAGAAGCCAGUCCUCCUUUCUCCUUUCUGGAUGGCACCCAGCAAGCAAAGGGACUUAGAGUUGCAACCUGUAGGUUCUUAAUUGGUAACUUUAUUAAAUCAUAGGAAAAACCAACUUACAAAAAUCCCAGCCUUUUCCCUCUUUAGAAUUGGCAAAUAUUUCUGAGACCAGGAUUCUAAAAGUGUAUUUUGUGCUCACAUUGCCCCCCGCCCCCCCCCCCCAGGGUGUCAAUAACAGGAGUGUACUCUCUGGCUUUCUGCUUUCAUAUAUAGACGAGGCUAAGGUACUACAAUGCCCUGUUCACAUUGCUUCUUGCUCAUUGUACAAAUAUGCCUCACGAAUUAUAGGCUUUGGUGCAGAUAGAGAGGUUGUUUUUAUCUCUUAUCCAUGGGAGUGCCCCUUAAUGUCAUCUAUGUUUUUUUUCCACUUUCCUUACCAUAUAAGGGCAGAAGUUUAACUUGGCUUUAGUGGCUUGGUGUUACACAGUAAAGGGUGAAACCUUCUCUGGACAACUACAGUUUGCAUGAAAUAAAAAGACCUGACCUGUGAUCAUCCCAUGCUGGUCAGGAGGACUUGGAAAAUACAUUCCAGAGGAUUUGUUCUUAGAAUAUAUUAUUCUCCUACCAUUAUUUCUUCUUAACAGUCUUAACAGGAAUACUGGUUUUUAAAGUAAAAAUCAUUGCUAUUUUUAAAUUGUCUCUAGGUAUAUUGACUGUAACAUCUGGAUUUUGUGAAAAUCUAGGCCCUAUAAAAGUUUUCUUUCAGAUUUGACUGGGAGAAAUAUUUUUGCUGUAUUGUGUGACCCUGCCUUUGAUGGCUUUGUAGCAUCUUGUAGAGGUGCAUAGGAAUGGUGUACACCUGCCCUUAUUUUGUGUAUAGGUAGCUGGUACCUUGUGGAAGAGGGCUUCCAGGUGGCUCAGUGGUGAAGGAUGCACCUGCCAACACAGGAGACAAAAGAGGGUUGGGUUUGAUCCCUGGGUCGAGAAGAUUCCCUGGAGCAGGAAAUGGCAACCCACUCCAGUAUUCUUGCUUGGAGAAUGCCAUGGACAGAGGAGCCUGGCAUGCUAUAGCCCAUGGGGUCGCAAAGAAUCGGACAUGACUGAACAGCCAGCACACACCUUGAGGAAGGGGAUGGGGCAAGGCACAUACAGCUCCAAGGCACCUCACACGUGCAGGGCACCUGGUGGCUGCUUAACAACAAUUCUCUAGGAUGACAGUUGGUAGCCUUUACUAAUGUAGCAGUCUCUUUUCUGAGUAGCUCAUAACAUGUUGAGACACAAUAGCAUUUUUGAAAUAAAAGAAACUAACAUCCCAAACAAAGACUUUGCCAGCAGUGUCAACACGUGGGCUGUUGUUAGAAGGUAACCUAGGACACUGAGGGUGAUUUUCAUGCCUGGAAAUAAUUUGUGUCUGGGGUUGUGACCCUUCCCAAACACCUUGUUGUUUAUAUCUGCUUUUUAAAUAACAAAUGGUCCGGUGACUGAGGUUUGUACUGAGGCAACAGCCAAUGAAGUCUUAAGUAGACUGCCCAGGUAUUGUGAUGAAAACAACCUUAGAAAAUACCUGAAGAAGCCUCAGAACUCAGAGAAUGCAUACCAGAAAUAAAAGCUAGUGAAGGUGAGAGAUGUGGGCCUUUUGAACACAGCAUAAUAAAAAAAAAAAAAAAGUGAAAAGAGUGCCCUUAAUUGAUGAAACAGAAUGUAUCUUCUGUUCUAAGGAGCCAAAUUAAAUUGUGAUCAGACCAGUAUUGUAAGGCCUGAGAAGCCUGUAAGAGUCCAGGUUUUUCCCUGGGGAAGCUUUUGUAGGGAUACAUACUCCCCAGAUACUGCUUUCAAAUUCAGGUCAUAACCUACAAGCACCUUUGCCCAUCUUGCUGUGAAACCUCCCGGGGCAGCAGGUGUUGGCUUCUGGGGUUGAAAGCAAAUGCUCCGUGUCCUUGUGUGAGCUGUUCCCCUCCUGGUGUUACUUGAUGUUUUUUUAAUUUUUUACCACGCCUUUUUUUUCAAAAAGCAUUGAGAGGACUUGCUCAGCAGAUGAUAAUGAGUACAGUUCUAGUCCUGGAUAGGUUUUGUCCCGAAGGCUUUUCUUUCAGUCCGGGGUUUGAAUUGGGGGUGACUGUAGAGAACCUGCUGCGCUGAUGUCAGAAGGUGGAAAGACCCCACAGGUGAGAACCAACAAUCCCAGGGCUUCCCUGAGGCUCCAGGAGGCCUUGAGAAGUGAGACAGGUGAGCCUGUACUGGAGGAGCAGGGAACUAGGAUGCUCGUCCUGCCUCCCACUGAUGGCUGUGUGACCCAAGCAUGCUUCAACCCUCAGGGUCAGAGGUCCUUGCCUCUUCCUAUUUUCUCAACAAAGAGCUCCAUGAGUGGUUCCUGUAGGCUUUGCCAGUGUCUUUGGGUGGGGUGGUGGGUGGUUGCUUUUUUAUAGUGCAGAUUCCCACCUCCCUCUCUUGACCUCUUGGAUCAAAAUCUCUAGGGAUGGGGCCUGGAAAUGUGUACUUUUAACGUGCCUUCAGGUGAACUCAGACAGCCAGUUGUGGGAACUAGGGACCCUUUGAGCUAAACAUCUGAGACCCCGUUUUUGUGGACCACUCACAGGUCUGUUCUCUGGGUUGACCCAGUCCUGGCUCCUGGAACUGGUCUCCAUUCCUGGCCGUUGUUUGGGUGCCCUUUAUGGGGCCUGUUGACUGGUAUUCCUACAGGACACAACCCCUAAUGUAGAUUCUACAAAAUGCUCCAACGGGGAAAGAAGUUCCAUUUAUAAAACAGCAUCCAGAGCUAAAGAAAGAGCAGAGUGGGGGCUGGAAGAGCAAAGACUUGGAUCAAUGGGGGUUCCUCUCUGGGAGGAAGAUCUUUUGUGCAGAGGCAGGAAUGAACAUAGAGUGCUGUCUCUGACGCCCCAGGUACAUGGGAGCCUGGGGACCCAGAGUGGCCUGUUACCUGAAAGGUCCUUUCCCUGGAGCAUAAACAGUCUCCUUUCUGUGAGUACAAAGUCCUUGAGGUCAGGGCCCAGAUUGAAAACAGAGCUGGAAACUUCUAGUGUGGUGGCUACAGAAAUUGUUUUGAAAAUCUUGUUGACAUUUCUCUGGCCACAGCAUCUAUAACAAGCAUAUUUAAGAAAGAGGGAGAAAAUACUUUUGAGUACAUGACCUAGACACUCUACUGAGUUUUUUUUUCUUGGUGGUAUUUUAGAGGGUGGGUUUGUUUUGCUCUUCAUUUUAUUUUUCAGCUUUCAGAGUUGCUUGCUUGUCCUCCCACCCCAGUUCAUAAAAGGAAUAGAAUUUUCCUUCUAUCUCAGGUCAACAUGGCGAGCAGGCCAGCCAUUUCAGCAUCAAGCAGGUGGAGCUGGAGGGUAUUCAAAAAUGGUAUAUAAGGCUGCUGGAUUCAAUAAACUGGGCUUAAUGCCAGAUGAUACAAUAUAUGAGAAUGACGAUGUGAAAGAGCCAUAAGAAGGCUUCCUGAGAACCUUUAUAGUAACAGAGUGUUUCACAUUAAGAGAGUGCUGGACCUGAGCAUGAGGCAGCAGAUCCUGCCUAAAGAGCAGUGGACAAAAUAUGAGGCAGAUAAAUUCUACCUUGAACGAUAUCUGGAAGAGGUUAUUUAGGAAAGAAAAGAGAGAGAGAAAUGGGCAAAGAAAUAAUUUAGUAGUCUAAAUCUGUGGAUACAGCUGUUCUCAAGUAUUUUUAUGAAGUUGGUUAAACCUGAAAUGUACAAUGUAGAACUAUUUGGGCUGUAAAUGUAUUGCUUUAAAUAAAUAUUAUAAUUAUUGUUGGGGUGGGGGGGAAGGAAUAGAAUUUUCCUGGAACUGGAAAAUGCAGAAAUCUGACCUGACCCAAAGAUAUGCCCUUAAUGUAUACCUUCUUCCAAUUUUUUGUUUUUGUUUUUUAAUACAGGGCUAAAAACUUUUAAAAGUUCCCGUACUUAAGAAAUGUGUUAUCCAUAUUACCCUCAUCCCUCCCCCACCCCCCAAAAAAAACCAACGUUCACUGGCCAUUGAGACCUGGUGGGGCCCAUUAUUCACUGUGCAUCUAUAAUGAUUGACUUUGUGGGUGGGUACAGUUGUAAACUGACCUUGGAUUCAUUUCACAUUUACCCCUACUCCCUGCCUCCGUCAGCCAGUUGUUACUACAUAGUUAAUUUUUGACGAGAUAAAAGUGUAUUUGAAUGUUUUUAUAGAGUCCUUCACCAUGGUUGGAGAUGCCCUAAUCACCUCUCUUUCCCAGAGAGAACUUGACUUUUAAAAUUUUACAAAUCUAGAUGAGCAGAGAGCAGAGUGUUCUCGUGUUCCUUUAGUUCAAGGCUGUGAUCGAAGACUCUCGCUACUUGUACAUGUCAAGCCCAUGUACCGUGGGUCCAGUACUCAGAAAGUUGCUUUUGUGUAAGUUGGUUUUGCUUAUUUUGUUCAGUAGACAUUUAUUAUACUCCGUAUAGAGAAUCAUGAUUCCUUGCACAUAAGAAGGAAUGUGAAUAAGGAAGACAGCACUGUAGGUAGAGAGCUAGCAUCAUCCCUAAGUGCAGGUUGUAAUUUUUAGAAAACUCCCAAGUGUCCUGAAAAACCCAUCAUUGCAGGAUAAGCACACAUUCAAAGUAGAUGAGGAAACGCUGCCAGAUUAGCAAAUUCCAUCUUUCACUUCCAUGCGUAAUAUUUAAACAGCCACCAAUGCAAGUGUAUGUAAUGGACCCAGCCAGUCUUGCAAGUGUCCUGAGGCUCAUAGUAACAAAUGCUUUUAACUAUAGGUAAACAUCACAUCCCCAAAAAAAGAGCAUAUUUCAGAGAUAGAUACCAAGUAAAAACAGUAUCUGUACUGCUUUUCUUCUAAGGAGUUUGAAACUCUUCUUGUAGCAACCCUGACUUGUGAGAAAUGCCUGUAGGCUUAGGUCACAGACGCUUGGGAAAUUUGUUUUGGCGCUAUUCCAGUGUGACCUGUUAUCCUCAAGAGGUGCCGAAGGGCACGGGGGCUUACUGGGUUUUGUUGUGUCUCUGUAUAGUUUUAUAUUUUAGAACCACUGAACUUAAAAAUCUUUUAGUUCCUAAAAUAUUUAAUAACGCCCCUUUGAGAAUGUGAUCAGAAGAAAGGAGAAUUGAGACUCCUGAGUCCCAAGUUCUCGCUGAGCUCCUCUCAUCUUGUGUGAGGGAGCCUGGGUCAGUCCUGUCGCCUCUAUCCACACCUCAGCCCCCACCAUGUGAGGUGGCUGUGAUGACGCUCCCCUCUGAGAGUCAGGUAAAGCCAGCAUGUUGAAAUCUGUGUUAGAAAGGAACCAAAUGAGAAAGUGUUGCUGACGGUCCCUCUGUCCCACGAGGAUGAUGCGUGUGGAUUUGCAUAUACCCCAAGGUGAACACCCACUGGAUAAAUCAAUGGAUGAACAUAUCCAACAACCCCAGAGUUGACCACGGCUUGUAGCACACUUUAGGGUAGCUCACCACAAAGCCAGGCUUCCUUGUUGAACCAGCAUUUCAGUCCAGCCCCUCUUGAAUGCACUACCCUCACGUCCUCUUCAACACUUAAACACCUCUCAUUCUCUCUGCCCAGGCUGAAGCCGACGUAGCUUCUCUGAACAGACGCAUCCAGCUGGUUGAGGAAGAGUUGGAUCGUGCCCAGGAGCGUCUGGCAACAGCUCUA